rnacentral:tRNA from 1 species
GGUCGAGUAGUUCAAAUGGUUAGAACGGGCGCUUUGUAAGCGUUUGACGAUAGUUCAAAUCUAUCCUUGACUUCCA